rnacentral:rRNA from 1 species
UACGUAGGUGACAAGCGUUGUCCGGAUUUACUGGGCGUAAAGCGCACGUAGGCGGCCUCGCAAGUCUGAUGUGAAAUCCCUCGGCUCAACCGAGGACGUGCAUCGGAAACUGCGGGGCUUGAGUACUGAAGAGGAUCGCGGAAUUCCCGGUGUAGAGGUGAAAUUCGUAGAUAUCGGGAGGAACACCAGUGGCGAAGGCGGCGAUCUGGGCAGAUACUGACGCUGAGGCGCGAAAGCGUGGGGAGCAAACAGG